AUUGAACGCUGGCGGCAGGCCUAACACAUGCAAGUCGAGCGGAGCGGCGGACGGGUGAGUAAUGCCUAGGAAUCUGCCUGGUAGUGGGGGAUAACGUCCGGAAACGGGCGCUAAUACCGCAUACUAUCAGAUGAGCCUAGGUCGGAUUAGCUAGUUGGUGGGUGAAAGGCUGACCAAGGCGACUAUCCGUAACUGGUCUGCGAGGAUGAUCAGUCACACUUGAACUGAGACACGGUCCAGACCCCUACGGGAGGCAGCAGUGGGGAAUAUUGGAGAAGGGGCGAAAGCCUGAUCCAGCUAUGCCGCGUGUGUGAAGAAGGUCUACGGAUUGUAAAGCACUUUAAGUUGGGAGGCGUUACCAACAGAAUAAGCACCGGUUAAUUGCGAGCCAGCAGCGCGGUAAUAC
rnacentral:rRNA from 1 species